UAACCCAGAGGAAAGUUUUGUUUGAAAAUGCAAUUGAUACAUACAGUACAAAUAGAGAGCAAUUUCACUCCUGAAUCCAAUGAGAAAUGUUGAGUUCAUACUCAUAUCUCUGAAUUUUAUUGCAUUAAUACGUGAGAUUACUGGGGUCUUUUUCUCAGAUAAUUACCUGAGUGGACCUGUAACCAGUGGCCAGCAUUCACAGGUAAUAAGCUGGGACUUAAGUGAAAAUGCUAUCCAGAUGAUACCAAGAAGAGCAUUUAGAGGAGCCACAGACAUCAAGAACUUACAGCUGGAUAAGAGCCACAUCAGCUGCAUUGAGGAUGGAGCGUUUCGGGCCAUGGGAGUCCUGGAGGUCCUGUAUGUAUUGACUGUAUGUGAUACUUGCAAAGUCCGUUUUCAUCAGUUUUCUGCUUUUGUUUUCAUAGCCGGCUGCACUCUAACAGUCUGCGGUGUGACUGUCAUUUGUCAUGGCUGUCUCAGUGGCUCAGACAGAGAGUGACGCUGGGACUUUACACUCUUUACACUUACACCAACCCACACGGCCUCAACUUCAUAUGCUCCGGAUUCUUUAUGGAAAUAAGAUUGCAGAUCUGCCUCGAGGUGUUUUUGACAGAUUGAGUGCAUUAGAGUUACUACUAUUAAAAUGCCAGUAAAAUCCACUGUGUGCGAGCCAAUGUCUUCCAUGACCUUGAGAACCUAUUGUCCCUGUAUGACAAUAAGAUCCAGACUCUAGCCAAAGGCACAUUUACUCCGCUGGAAUCCAUCCAGACUCUUCAUUUAGCUCAAAACCCAUUCGUCUGUGAUUGUGGUUUGAAGUGGCUGGCGGACUUUAUGCGCUCCAACACGAUUGAGACCAGCGCCGCACGAUGCUCCAGUCCUCGAUGAUUCGCCAACAAGCGCAUCAGUCAGAUCAAGAGCAAGAAGUUCCACUGUUCAGGUAGAAUACACAAAUUGCAUACAUUUAUUUAUUUGAAAGUACACACAUAACGUUUAACUGGAAGUUUGUUUGAAAUUACAAUUACAGACAGUAAUUGUUCCUCCGAGCAAGGAGAAUCUGGAACAAUCUCUGUGAGUAAGGGUCAAGGCCGGAAAAGCAUACUAAGUGGAAAACUGUUCUGUGGUCAGAAGAAUCAAAAUUUGAAGUUCUUUUUGGAAAACUGGGAUGCCAUGUCAUCCGGACUAAAGAGGACAAGGACAACCCAAGGUGUUUUCAGCGCUCAGUUCAGAAGCCUGCAUCUCUGAUGGUAUGGGGUUGCAUGAGUGUGUGUGGCAUGGGCAGCUUACACAUCUGGAAAGGCACCAUCAAUGCUGAAAGGUAUAUACAAGUUCUAGAACAACAUAUCCUCCCAUCCAGACGUCAUCUCUUUCAGGGAAGACCUUGCAUUUUCAUCAUGACAAUACCAGUCCACAUACUGCAUCAAUUACAACAUCAUGGCUGUGUAGAAGAAGGAUCCGGGUACUGAAAUGACCAGCCUUCAGUCCAGAUCUUUCACCCAUAGAAAACAUUUGGCGCAUCAUAAAGAGGAAGAUGUGACAAAGAAAACCUAAGACACUUGAGCAACUAGAAGCCUGUAUUAGACAAGAAUGGGAGAACAUUCCUAUUCCUAAACUUGAGCAACUUGUCUCCUCAGUCACCAGACGUUUGCAGACUGUUAUAAAAAGAAGAGGGGAUGCCACACAGUGUUAAACAUGGCCUUGUCCCAACUUUUUUGAGAUUUGUUGAUGCCAUGAAAUUUGAAAUCAACUUAUUUUUCCCUUAAAAUGAUACAUAUUCUCAGUUUAAAUGUUUGAUAUGUCAUCUAUGUUGUAUUCUGAAUAAAAUAUUGAAAUUUGAAACUUCCA